rnacentral:rRNA from 1 species
UAAUACUGCAGUCGAGCGAANGACGAGGAGCUUGCUCCUCUGACGUUAGCGGCGGACGGGUGAGUAACACGUGGAUAACCUACCUAUAAGACUGGGAUAACUUCGGGAAACCGGAGCUAAUACCGGAUAAUAUAUUGAACCGCAUGGUUCAAUAGUGAAAGACGGUUUUGCUGUCACUUAUAGAUGGAUCCGCGCCGCAUUAGCUAGUUGGUAAGGUAACGGCUUACCAAGGCAACGAUGCGUAGCCGACCUGAGAGGGUGAUCGGCCACACUGGAACUGAGACACGGUCCAGACUCCUACGGGAGGCAGCAGUAGGGAAUCUUCCGCAAUGGGCGAAAGCCUGACGGAGCAACGCCGCGUGAGUGAUGAAGGUCUUCGGAUCGUAAAACUCUGUUAUUAGGGAAGAACAAAUGUGUAAGUAACUAUGCACGUCUUGACGGUACCUAAUCAGAAAGCCACGGCUAACUACGUGCCAGCAGCCGCGGUAAUACGUAGGUGGCAAGCGUUAUCCGGAAUUAUUGGGCGUAAAGCGCGCGUAGGCGGUUUUUUAAGUCUGAUGUGAAAGCCCACGGCUCAACCGUGGAGGGUCAUUGGAAACUGGAAAACUUGAGUGCAGAAGAGGAAAGUGGAAUUCCAUGUGUAGCGGUGAAAUGCGCAGAGAUAUGGAGGAACACCAGUGGCGAAGGCGACUUUCUGGUCUGUAACUGACGCUGAUGUGCGAAAGCGUGGGGAUCAAACAGGAUUAGAUACCCUGGUAGUCCACGCCGUAAACGAUGAGUGCUAAGUGUUAGGGGGUUUCCGCCCCUUAGUGCUGCAGCUAACGCAUUAAGCACUCCGCCUGGGGAGUACGACCGCAAGGUUGAAACUCAAAGGAAUUGACGGGGACCCGCACAAGCGGUGGAGCAUGUGGUUUAAUUCGAAGCAACGCGAAGAACCUUACCAAAUCUUGACAUCCUCUGACCCCUCUAGAGAUAGAGUUUUCCCCUUCGGGGGACAGAGUGACAGGUGGUGCAUGGUUGUCGUCAGCUCGUGUCGUGAGAUGUUGGGUUAAGUCCCGCAACGAGCGCAACCCUUAAGCUUAGUUGCCAUCAUUAAGUUGGGCACUCUAAGUUGACUGCCGGUGACAAACCGGAGGAAGGUGGGGAUGACGUCAAAUCAUCAUGCCCCUUAUGAUUUGGGCUACACACGUGCUUCAAUGG